rnacentral:rRNA from 1 species
UACGAAGGGGGCUAGCGUUGUUCGGAAUUACUGGGCGUAAAGCGCACGUAGGCGGACUCUUAAGUCAGGGGUGAAAUCCCGGGGCACAACCUCGGAACUGCCUUUGAUACUGUGAGUCUCGAGACCGGAAGAGGUGAGCGGAAUUCCUAGUGUAGAGGUGAAAUUCGUAGAUAUUAGGAAGAACACCAGUGGCGAAGGCGGCUCACUGGUCCGGUUCUGACGCUGAGGCACGAAAGCGUGGGGAGCGAACAGG